GACAGAGGGUGCAAACGUUGCUCGGAAUUACUGGGCGUAAAGCGCGUGUAGGCGGACCGGUGUGUCGGAUGUGAAAUCCCUGGGCUCAACCCAGGAACUGCAUUCGAAACUACCGGUCUAGAGUGGUGGAGAGGGAAGUGGAAUUCCUGGUGUAGAGGUGAAAUUCGUAGAUAUCAGGAGGAACACCAGUGGCGAAGGCGGCUUCCUGGACAACAACUGACGCUGAGACGCGAAAGCGUGGGGAGCAAACAGG
rnacentral:rRNA from 1 species